rnacentral:rRNA from 1 species
GAUGAACGCUGGCGGCGUGCCUAAUACAUGCAAGUCGAGCGAACAGAUGAGGAGCUUGCUCCUCUGACGUUAGCGGCGGACGGGUGAGUAACACGUGGAUAACCUACCUAUAAGACUGGGAUAACUUCGGGAAACCGGAGCUAAUACCGGAUAAUAUAUUGAACCGCAUGGUUCAAUAGUGAAAGACGGUUUUGCUGUCACUUAUAGAUGGAUCCGCGCCGCAUUAGCUAGUUGGUAAGGUAACGGCUUACCAAGGCGACGAUGCGUAGCCGACCUGAGAGGGUGAUCGGCCACACUGGAACUGAGACACGGUCCAGACUCCUACGGGAGGCAGCAGUAGGGAAUCUUCCGCAAUGGGCGAAAGCCUGACGGUGCAACGCCGCGUGAGUGAUGAAGGUCUUCGGAUCGUAAAACUCUGUUAUUAGGGAAGAACAAAUGUGUAAGUAACUAUGCACGUCUUGACGGUACCUAAUCAGAAAGCCACGGCUAACUACGUG